AGAACGAACGCUGGCGGCAGGCCUCAAACAUGCAAGUCUAGGGGGCGUAGCAAUACGUCACCGGCGGACGGGUGCGUAACACGUGGGAAUGUACUUACUGGUUCGGAACAACUCAGGGAAACUUGAGCUAAUACCGAAUGUGCCCGAAAGGGGAAAGAUUUAUCGCCAGUAAAUCAGCCCGCGUCCGAUUAGCUAGUUGGCGGGGUAAAGGCCCACCAAGGCGACGAUCGGUAGCUGUUCUGAGAGGAAGAUCAGCCACACUGGGACUGAGACACGGCCCCAGACUCCUACGGGAGGCAGCAGUUGGGAAUCUUGGACAAUGGGGGAAACCCUGAUCCAGCCAUGCCGCGUGAGUGAUGAAGGCCUUCGGGUUGUAAAACUCUUUCGACGGGGACGAUAAUGACGGUACCCGUAGAAGAAGCUCCGGCUAACUUCGCGCCAGCCAGCCGC
rnacentral:rRNA from 1 species